rnacentral:snRNA from 1 species
GCUCUCACUUUGGCAGCACAUAUACUAAAAUCAGAAUGAUACAGAGAAAAUUAGCAUGGCCCCUGAACAAGGAUGACACACAAAUUCAAGCAGUGUUCCAUAUUUUU